rnacentral:rRNA from 1 species
CGACCUGCACGAAUGGCGUAACGAUCGCCCCACUGUCUCCACCCGAGACUCAGUGAAAUUGAAUUCGCUGUGACGAUGCAGUGUUCCCGCGGCAAGACGGAAAGACCCCGUGAACCUUUACUACAACUUUGCACUGGAUUCUGAAUUUGUUUGUGUAGGAUAGGUGGGAGCCUUUGAAGCGGUCACGCCAGUGAUCGUGGAGGCAACCUUGAAAUACCACCCUGAUAAAUUUGGAAUUCUAACCUAGGCCCGUUAUCCGGGUCAGGGACAUUGUAUGGUGGGUAGUUUGACUGGGGCGGG